rnacentral:rRNA from 1 species
UCUACUUGGAUAACUGUGGUAAUUCUAGAGCUAAUACACGCAAACAAACUCGGGACGCUCGUCCAGAGUGCAUUUAUUAGUACAAGACCAACCGGGGCAUUCGUGUCUCGCGCAUUUGGUGAAUCUGAAUAACUGAGCCGAUCGCACGGUCUCCGUACCGGCGACGUAUCUUUCAAGUGUCUGCCCUAUCAACUUUCGAUGGUAGUUUAUAUGACUACCAUGGUUAUAACGGGUAACGGAAAAAAAGGUUUC